UGCUUGUUUUCUGGCCCGCGGGCGGGGGUGGAGUGGCAGGCUCUGGCUGUGUGUUUAGGCAGGUAGAGGCCCGGAGGGAAGUGAAGAGUGGGGGCUGAGCCGCCUACGAGGGAGGGAGGCUGCCUCAGGGCCUUGAGCCGCAAGGUCCCACUGCGGCACGUGAGCUGCUGCGAGCUGCCAGGGACUCCGGCGCCGGCGCGGGGCGCAUCGCUGGGAACCCAUCCUUGGGAGCCGCUGACAGUCCAGUUCCAGGCUGCCCCAGAGCUCCAGCACCCGUCAGUCUUUUCUCCUCCAGUUGUGGAAGGCAAGAAGAGGCACAGACCCAUCAAGAGUGCAGAAGGUGCUGGAAAGAGAUAUCAAACGUCCGAGUUCUCUCCGUGUUCACAGCUAAAUACACAUAUAUUUAUGGAGCAUCGAUUAUGAUGAGCCCAGCAGCCCAAGGGUAAACAGGAGAGUUCCCCUCCAGAACUUACUGCUCACCUGCCACAUUAUCGCUGCGGUUCUGGCUCCCUGGGCCGCACCCCACCAGGCUGUGCCUACAGCUCCUCUGCGGAGAAGCAGCCCAGCGGUCCAGCUCCCCUGAUUCUAGCUCCAGCACCG